rnacentral:rRNA from 1 species
GUCUUUCUUUGCCUGUCUAGUUGCUUUGAUUGUUUGAACGGCUUAAAUUGUGAUUGAUUUACAUAAACGUUCCUGUUGAUGAUGUAGGUUUUGGUAGGCGAAUCCUUGGUGAAGCAAGCAGACCCUGGGCGAGCCAUCGCGGGGCUCUUCGGGAAAGAACUGGUGCACUGAAACAACUAGCUCAGACUUGUUUGUGGUAGACUAGUAGUAGUAGCUGCCAGACCACCGCAUGAUGAACAAUAAUGGUCUCUUUUUCUUUUGGAUGAGCAACAAGAUUUGAUCUUUUUUAUGUGGGAAUAAACAUAUUCUUUAUUUAUGGGGAACAAAUGUAUGAUCUACCAGUUGCGUGCAUAUAUUGUUGACAAAACAUGCAACCUUGUAAUCAACUCAGCCAAACAUGAUCGAAGUGUGUCCA